UACGGGGGGGCAAGCGUUGUUCGGAAUUACUGGGCGUAAAGGGCUCGUAGGCGGCCAACUAAGUCGGAUGUGAAAUCCCCAGGCUUAACCUGGGAACUGCAUCCGAUACUGGAUGGCUUGAAUCCGGGAGAGGGAUGCGGAAUUCCAGGUGUAGCGGUGAAAUGCGUAGAUAUCUGGAGGAACACCGGUGGCGAAGGCGGC
rnacentral:rRNA from 1 species